rnacentral:rRNA from 1 species
UCGUAACAAGGUCUCCGUUGGUGAACCAGCGGAGGGAUCAUUACCGAGUUUACAACUCCCAAACCCCUGUGAACAUACCUAUACGUUGCCUCGGCGGAUCAGCCCGCGCCCCGUAAAAAGGGACGGCCCGCCCGAGGACCCCUAAACUCUGUUUUUAGUGGAACUUCUGAGUAAAACAAACAAAUAAAUCAAAACUUUCAACAACGGAUCUCUUGGUUCUGGCAUCGAUGAAGAACGCAGCAAAAUGCGAUAAGUAAUGUGAAUUGCAGAAUUCAGUGAAUCAUCGAAUCUUUGAACGCACAUUGCGCCCGCCAGUAUUCUGGCGGGCAUGCCUGUUCGAGCGUCAUUUCAACCCUCAAGCUCAGCUUGGUGUUGGGACUCGCGGUAACCCGCGUUCCCCAAAUCGAUUGGCGGUCACGUCGAGCUUCCAUAGCGUAGUAAUCAUACACCUCGUUACUGGUAAUCGUCGCGGCCACGCCGUAAAACCCCAACUUCUGAAUGUUGACCUCGGAUCAGG